AUUGAACGCUGGCGGGAGGCCUAACACAUGCAAGUCGAGCGGAGUGGCGGACGGGUGAGUAAUGUCUCGGAAUCUGCCUGGUAGCGGGGGAUAACGACCGGAAAGGGGCGCUAAUACCGCAUACUAUUGGAUGGGCCUAGGUCGGAUUAGUUAGUUGGUGGGGUAACGGCCUACCAAGGCGACGAUCCGUAACUGGUCUGAGAGGAUGAUCAGUCACACGGGAACUGAGACACGGCCCAGACUCCUACGGGAGGCAGCAGUGGGGAAUUUUGGACAAUGGGCGAAACCCUGAUCCAGCCAUCCCGCGUGUGUGAUGAAGGUCUUCGGAUUGUAAAGCACUUUAAGUAGGAAGGCGUUACCUGCAGAAUAAGCACCGGCUAACUUCGUGCCAGCAGCCGCGGUAAUAC
rnacentral:rRNA from 1 species